rnacentral:rRNA from 1 species
AUUGAACGCUGGCGGCAUGCCUUACACAUGCAAGUCGAACGGCAGCGGGGGAGAAGCUUGCUUUUCCUGCCGGCGAGUGGCGAACGGGUGAGUAAUACAUCGGAACGUGCCCUGUAGUGGGGGAUAACUAGUCGAAAGAUUAGCUAAUACCGCAUACGACCUGAGGGUGAAAGUGGGGGACAGCAAGGCCUCAUGCUAUAGAAGCGCCCGAUGUCUGAUUAGCUAGUUGGUGGGGUAAAGGCCUACCAAGGCGACGAUCAGUAGCUGGUCUGAGAGGACGAUCAGCCACAAUGGGACUGAGACACGGCCCAGACUCCUACGGGAGGCAGCAGUGGGGAAUUUUGGACAAUGGGCGAAAGCCUGAUCCAGCAAUGCCGCGUGUGUGAAGAAGGCCUUCGGGUUGUAAAGCACUUUUGUCCGGAAAGAAAUGGCUCUGGUUAAUACCUGGGGUCGAUGACGGUACCGGAAGAAUAAGGACCGGCUAACUACGUGCCAGCAGCCGCCGUAA